rnacentral:rRNA from 1 species
UACAGAGGGUGCAAGCGUUAAUCGGAAUUACUGGGCGUAAAGCGUGCGCAGGCGGUUUUGUAAGUCUGUCGUGAAAUCCCCGGGCUCAACCUGGGAAUUGCGAUGGAGACUGCAAGGCUAGAAUCUGGCAGAGGGGGGUAGAAUUCCACGUGUGAGCAGUGAAAUGCGUAGAGAUAGUGGGAGGAACACCGAUGGCGAAGGCAGCCCCCUGGGAUAACACUGACGCUCCAUG